rnacentral:rRNA from 1 species
CCUACGGGUGACAGCAGUGAGGAAUAUUGGUCAAUGGACGAGAGUCUGAACCAGCCAAGUAGCGUGAAGGAUGACUGCCCUAUGGGUUGUAAACUUCUUUUAUAUGGGAAUAAAAUGUUCCACGUGUGGGAUUUUGUAUGUACCAUAUGAAUAAGGAUCGGCUAACUCCGUGCCAGCAGCCGCGGUAAUACGGAGGAUCCGAGUGUUGUACGGAUUUAUUGGGUUUAAAGGGAGCGUAGGUGGAUUGUUAAGUCAGGUGUGAAAGUUUGCGGCUCAACCGUCAAAUUGCCGUUGAAACUGGCAGGCUUGAGUACAGUAGAGGUGGGCGGAAUUCGUGGUGUAGCGGUGAAAUGCUUAGAUAUCACGCAGAACUCCGAUUGCGAAGGCAGCUCACUGGACUGCAACUGACACUGAGGCUCGAAAGCGUGGGUAUCAAACAGGAUUAGAUACCCCAGUAGUC